UACGGAGGGUGCAAGCGUUAAUCGGAAUGACUGGGCGUAAAGGGUUCGUAGGUGGUCAGAUAAGUCAGAUGUGAAAUACCUGGGCUCAACCUGGGAGGGUCAUUUGAAACUGUUUGACUAGAGUUUACUAGAGGAUUGGGGAAUUUCCGGUGUAGCGGUGAAAUGCGUAGAGAUCGGAAGGAACAUCAAUGGCGAAGGCAACAAUCUGGGGUUGAACUGACACUGAGGGACGAAAGCGUGGGGAUCAAACAGG
rnacentral:rRNA from 1 species